AGAGUUUGAUCCUGGCUCAGGACGAACGCUGGCGGCACGCUAAACACAUGCAAGUCGAACGAGAGAAGAGGAGCUUGCUUUUCUGAUCUAGUGGCGGACGGGUGAGUAACACGUGAGCAAUCUGCCUUUCAGAGGGGGAUACCGAUUGGAAACGAUCGUUAAUACCGCAUAACAUAAUUGAACCGCAUGAUUUGAUUAUCAAAGAUUUAUCGCUGAAAGAUGAGCUCGCGUCUGAUUAGCUAGUUGGUAAGGUAACGGCUUACCAAGGCGACGAUCAGUAGCCGGACUGAGAGGUUGAUCGGCCACAUUGGGACUGAGACACGGCCCAGACUCCUACGGGAGGCAGCAGUGGGGAAUAUUGCACAAUGGAGGAAACUCUGAUGCAGCGAUGCCGCGUGAGGGAAGAAGGUUUUAGGAUUGUAAACCUAUGUCUUCAGGGACGAAAAAAGACGGUACCUGAGGAGGAAGCUCCGGCUAACUACGUGCCAGCAGCCGCGGUAAUACGUAGGGAGCGAGCGUUGUCCGGAAUUACUGGGUGUAAAGGGAGCGUAGGCGGGAUCGCAAGUCAGAUGUGAAAACUAUGGGCUUAACCCAUAAACUGCAUUUGAAACUGUGGUUCUUGAGUGAAGUAGAGGUAAGCGGAAUUCCUAGUGUAGCGGUGAAAUGCGUAGAUAUUAGGAGGAACAUCAGUGGCGAAGGCGGCUUACUGGGCUUUAACUGACGCUGAGGCUCGAAAGCGUGGGGAGCAAACAGGAUUAGAUACCCUGGUAGUCCACGCCGUAAACGAUGAUUACUAGGUGUGGGGGGACUGACCCCUUCCGUGCCGCAGCAAACGCAAUAAGUAAUCCACCUGGGGAGUACGACCGCAAGGUUGAAACUCAGAGGAAUUGACGGGGGCCCGCACAAGCAGUGGAGUAUGUGGAUUAAUUCGAAGCAACGCGAAGAACCUUACCAGGUCUUGACAUCGUAUGCAUAGCUCAGAGAUGAGUGAAAUCUCUUCGGAGACAUAUAGACAGGUGGUGCAUGGUUGUCGUCAGCUCGUGUCGUGAGAUGUUGGGUUAAGUCCCGCAACGAGCGCAACCCUUACUGUUAGUUGCUACGCAAGAGCACUCUAGCAGGACUGCCGUUGACAAAACGGAGGAAGGUGGGGAUGACGUCAAAUCAUCAUGCCCCUUAUGACCUGGGCCUCACACGUACUACAAUGGCUGUCAACAGAGGGAAGCAAAGCCGCGAGGUGGAGCGAACCCCUAAAAGCAGUCUUAGUUCGGAUUGUAGGCUGCAACCCGCCUACAUGAAGUCGGAAUUGCUAGUAAUCGCAGAUCAGCAUGCUGCGGUGAAUACGUUCCCGGGCCUUGUACACACCGCCCGUCGCGCCAUGGGAGUCGGUAACACCCGAAGCCUGUAGUCUAACCGCAAGGAGGACGCAGUCGAAGGUGGGAUUGAUGACUGGGGUGAAGUCGUAACAAGGUA
rnacentral:rRNA from 1 species